rnacentral:rRNA from 1 species
UGGGGAAUAUUGCACAAUGGGGGAAACCCUGAUGCAGCGACGCCGCGUGAAGGACGAAGUAUUUCGGUACGUAAACUUCUAUCAGCAGGGAAGAAAAUGACGGUACCUGACCAAGAAGCCCCGGCUAACUACGUGCCAGCAGCCGCGGUAAUACGUAGGGGGCAAGCGUUAUCCGGAUUUACUGGGUGUAAAGGGAGCGUAGACGGCGCUGCAAGUCUGAUGUGAAAACCCGGGGCUCAACCCCGGGAGUGCAUUGGAAACUGUGGUGCUAGAGUGUCGGAGAGGCAAGUGGAAUUCCUAGUGUAGCGGUGAAAUGCGUAGAUAUUAGGAGGAACACCAGUGGCGAAGGCGGCUUGCUGGACGAUGACUGACGUUGAGGCUCGAAAGCGUGGGGAGCAAACAGGAUUAGAUACCC